rnacentral:rRNA from 1 species
GAAUGCAUCGAGGACGAAAGCUCCGGCGCCUGAGGAUGGGUCUGCGGCCUAUCAGGUAGUAGUGGGUGUAACGUACCUACUAGCCUACGACGGGUACGGGUUGUGAGAGCAAGAGCCCGGAGAUGGAUUCUGAGACACGAAUCCAGGCCCUACGGGGUGCAGCAGGCGCGAAAACUUUACAAAUGCCGGCAACGGCGAUAAGGGGACCUCGAGUGCCAGGUUACAAAUCUGGCUGUCGUGAUGCCUAAAAAGCAUUGCAUAGCAAGGGCCGGGCAAGACCGGUGCCAGACGACGCGGUAACACCGGCGGCUCGAGUGGUCACCGUUAUUAUUAGGGUCUAACAGGGUCUGUAGCCGGCCGGAUAAGUCUCUUGAGAAAUCCAGCAGCUCCACUGUUGGGCUUUCAUGAUAUACUGUCUGGCUCGAGGCCGGGAGAGGUGAGAGGUACUUCAGGGGUAGGGGUGAAAUCUUGUAAUCCUUGAAGGACCAC